UCCGGUUUGUCACCGGCAGUCUCCUUAAAGUUCCCGACAUUACUCGCUGGCAAAUAAGGAUAAGGGUUGCGCUCGUUACGGGACUUAACCCAACAUCUCACGACACGAGCUGACGACAGCCAUGCAGCACCUGUCUCAGAGUUCCCGAAGGCACCAAUCCAUCUCUGGAAAGUUCUCUGGAUGUCAAGACCUGGUAAGGUUCUUCGCGUUGCGUCGAAUUAAACCACAUGCUCCACCGCUUGUGCGGGCCCCCGUCAAUUCAUUUGAGUUUUAAUCUUGCGACCGUACUCCCCAGGCGGUCAACUUAGCGCGUUAGCUGCGCCACCAAAAGCACUAGGGCUCCCGACGGCUAGUUGACAUCGUUUACGGCGUGGACUAC
rnacentral:misc_RNA from 1 species